rnacentral:rRNA from 1 species
UGGGCAACCUGCCCUCAGCACUGGGAUAACUCCGGGAAACCGGGGCUAAUACCGGAUACGACCUCGGCGGGCAUCCGCUGAGGUGGAAAGUGUCAGUGGCUGAGGAUGGGCCCGCGGCCUAUCAGCUUGUUGGUGGGGUAACGGCCUACCAAGGCGACGACGGGUAGCCGGCCUGAGAGGGCGACCGGCCACACUGGGACUGAGACACGGCCCAGACUCCUACGGGAGGCA